CGCUUUGAUCGAGCUCUGUAAAGUAAGUGGAGCAGUGGUCUCUUCACUUGGUUUUUAUAGUGAGAUUCAACUCCUCCAUCUCAUUUUUUGAGCUCGUUUACAACG